UGCGAAGUGCUUUCGCUUUCUGAGUAAACUGAAAGUGGCGUCCACAGGAUGGGCACAAUUAAGUGGCGCCCGCUGAGGGG
rnacentral:snoRNA from 1 species